AUUGAACGCUGGCGGCAGGCCUAACACAUGCAAGUCGAGCGGAUGAAGCGAGCUUGCUCCUGGAUUCAGCGGCGGACGGGUGAGUAAUGCCUAGGAAUCUGCCUGGUAGUGGGGGAUAACGUCCGGAAACGGGCGCUAAUACCGCAUACGUCCUGAGGGAGAAAGUGGGGGAUCUUCGGACCUCACGCUAUCAGAUGAGCCUAGGUCGGAUUAUCUAGUUGGUGGGGUAAAGGCCUACCAAGGCGACGAUCCGCAACUGGUCUGAGAGGGUGGGCAGUAACACUGGAUCAGAGGAACGGUCCCGACUCCGAGAGGGAGAAACAGUGGGAAAUAUUGGGCGAGGGGCGAGAGCCUAAUCCUGCCAUGCCGCGUGUAUCAAGAAGGUCUUCUGAUUGUUAAACACUUUAAGUUGGGAGAAAGGGAAGUAAUUUAAUACCUUACUGUUUUGACGGUACCAACAGAAUAAGCACCGGCUAACUUCGUG
rnacentral:rRNA from 1 species